rnacentral:tRNA from 1 species
GCGGAUAUAGAUUAAUGGUAAAUUAUCUGCCUUCCAAGCAGAAUAUUGUGGGUUCGAGUCCCGCUGUCCGCA